UCCCUACCACAACAGUAGAAUAGUAGCGAAAACGUCUACAGUGACAGCCACUCUGCAGCCGUGUGCCCUGCGGCUGGUGUAAUAGUGUACAGAGAGUCCGAAAGGGCGACUUCCCGAACCACCGGCGCGCUGCCUAACUGCUCAGGAAAUUCUACGGAGUUUUUGGAACAUAAUUUCCCCAAAGGAGUGACGAGAUUCUGGAAUUACUGGAGUUGUGGGAAUAGGUUGUCGCUCAAGAGCAACUCAUAUUUCGAGGAAGGGCGGACUUUUGAACAGCGGGAGUUCAGGAUGGAGAAAGCGUCACUGUUUUUGCCCCUUGUCAUUCUACUGAUACAAUGCCUCCCCAUUGUCCCUGUUACCGUGUCAACAACCACGCCCAAGGUGGAGGUCCAUGAGAACUCCGAUGCGGUUCUGAGCUGUGAUUUUCGGACAGAGAAGGAACAGAAUCCUCGAAUCGAGUGGAAGAAGAAAGGAACAGAUGUAUCAUUUGUUUACUAUGAGGGACACUUCAGAGGAGCCUUUGCGGGGCGUGCAAGGAUCAAGGGGGCAACGGUGACCCUACAGAGGGUGACCCAGAAAGACGCGGGCGAAUACCGCUGUGAGAUCACUGCCCCUCACGACACCAUCACCCUGGGGGAGACUAACAUCACCCUCGAAGUCUUGGUGCCCCCCCACACCCCAUCCUGUGAGAUCCCCAGCUCGGCCUUGACGGGCUCUGUGGUGCAGCUGCGCUGUAGGGACCAGCAGAGCAUCCCCCCAGCCACCUACUCCUGGUACAAAGAUGACAAGCCGCUGACCCCCUCCCGCAUGGCCAACGCCACCUACCACCUCAACCCAAUCACGGGCAUACUGGAGUUUAAGACUGUGGCAAGAGGCGACACGGGACAGUACAGCUGUCUGGCAUCCAACAAAGUGGGGCCGCCCAAGAUGUGUGAGGCUAAACACAUGAAGAUAGAGGAUGUAAACAUGGCAGGGGUCGUGGCUGCGGUCGUGGUCAUCUGUCUGGUCAUCGCCAUUUGUGGCUUCGGGGGGUACUAUGCACACCGUAAUGGCUACUUCAGCAGUGAGUCUGUCUGUCCCCUCUCUCUGUCUGUCCAUGAAGCAUACAAUAUGUCUGGCUCUCUGUUAGAAAAUAUAAUUUGCACUCACUUCCUCUUACUUUCUGUCUCCACUCUCCUCUUCAUUUCUAUCUCCAGAACACAGAGGAAGGUAAGAGUUGUGUCCUUAAAUCCAUUAACGAUUAUCCCAAAUACAGUGAAGACACCCUGACACUGAACACAUCUGCGUUGCUGUGUAACUACCACUGACUAAUAGAGGUGUGUGCGUUUUAAUGUUCUGAGUAAGUUCAGUAGAGAGCGACAGGUGUGAUUGAGCCAAGCAGUGCAAAAGCCUGUCUCUUCUCACAGAGAGAGAGAGACACAAACAGGUAUUUUAUGACCCAGUUAGAAACACUAGGUUUGUUAUGUUAUUUUGACUGACUGACUCUAGAUUAGGCCAGUUAGAUGACUAGGAAUAAUCUCAUGAUUAUUUUUUAUGAAUUACAAAAUAAUAACAAUAAUGAGUCAUUGUUUAUCGAGGGAAGUCACAUUGUGAUUGACAUCUCUUUUUCAAGUGAACCCUGACUGCUAAUAAACCCCCCUCCCGGCUGAAUUGUGAUUCGCUUACCCCCCCUCUGUGUGGUCAUGUUUGUUAGUAACCCUGAGCAUGGUGUGUGAACCUCAUCCACCCCCUCACUCAACUUUGAACCCCCCCCCCAGGUCCUUUUGGAUCCCUCAGUGCCAUGGUGUGGCCCACAUGAGCAACCAGGACCUCCAUAGAACAAAAGACAAGACUAAUGCCAACUACAACCCUCCACCCCAAGACCCUGCGGACUUCAAACACACCCAGUCCUUCAUGCUGUGAGGACCUCGACAACCCCCUGGAAGACACCAAUAGAGUAGUUUCAUUCCACCCAAAUGAAUAGCUCUAAGAAUAGUUAAUUAUAUUUUUUGGGACUGACCAACCCUGCUCUCCUCACCCUUGUGGAUGGAUAGCAAGGGGGGGGACAGACAACUCUGCGUAGAGGCCAUUUAUUCCUCCUGUUUUGCUUUCCCUGGGCCCUCAAUGCAAGCCUAUUAUAUUAGUCACAUGGUACUCUACUUCCCUCUGGUGGCCAAGUUGUUAAACUACAGCAUAUCGCCAUGUUGUGGUGGACCCAUGGAAUUACGUCCCACACAUGCUCACUUCCCCCUCAACUGGCCAAAACAUGAACUACCUAAAUCUGAUUUUAUACCAAAGACGUGAACAUGGCAUCUGAGUGUAAUAUACUGUACAUAUUUUCUGAAGGCUAUUGGAUAAGGCUAUUGAUGUGCAUACAAUGUAGCCAUCACAUUAAGCCUCCCGAGUGACGCAGCAUCUCAGUGCAAGAGGUGUCACGACAGUCCCUGGUUCGAAUCCAGGCUGCAACACAUCCGGCCGUGAUUGGGAGUCCCAUAGAGCGGUGCUCAAUUGGCCCAGCAUCGUCUGGGUUUGGCCGUCAUUGUAAAUAAGAGUUUGUUCUUAACUGACCAAUCCAUUUUCUUCUGAGGGCAGUACUCGCGUAGAUCUGAUUCAGUCGGUUUGGAUUUUUAUUUAACCUUUACUUAACUAGGCAAGUCUGUUAAGAACAAAUUCUUAUUUACAAUGAUGGCCUACCCCGGCCAAACCCUAACGACGCAGGGCCAAUUGUGUGCCGCCCUAUCACGGCCGGUUGUGAUACAGCCUGGAAUCGAACCAGGGUCUGUAGUGAUGCCUCCAGGACUGAGAUGCUGCGCCACUCGGGAGCCCAAAAUUACAUAAUGUCCUCGCCCCCCUUUAGUCUAAUUAGCAUACAGGUAACAAACAAAAAAAAUCCACAUCAAAGUCCAUCUGUUUUAAGAUGGAGAGAUUGUUUUUUUACAUGGGCCGCGCCCCAAUAAUAGUAAAGCAGUGUUGGUCAGAACAGGAGACAUCCCUGAAAAACACCGGAGAUCACCACAAUAGUCUUAUGGAUUGUUUCCUCCAUUUUGAAUAUUGGCCAUCCACUAUAUUCCUUUCAGAACAGUGCAGCUGAAGGAAAGGAGACACUUUGGGAUCGAUUCAAUCCGUAAUGACGAAGUUCAGUGCUAUGAUUGAAAUUUAAAGGCGAUGUUCCUAUUUUCGCAGACUGCCUUCACGUUGAACGCUGCAUAUGUUGGCUCAAUCAUAAAUUACCUUUUACAUUUCAAUUGCGCAGUAGCUCUGAACUUCAGCAAUACUAAUUGAAUUGAGACCUUUGAGAUGGACCCCUGCUCACCUGAAGAUGCCUAGAUUUUCUGUGAUGCCCAGUGCCUUUCAAAAGUAGUUGUUAUAUUCUAUCUAGGGGCUCUUUUGUAAGUGUUUUCUUGUUUUGUUUAAGCUAAAGUAUUAUUGUGCUACUGCAUUUUUGGUCUUAAUAGUGUAUGUUUCUUAGGCUAUGGAUGAAGGGGUUGCUGUACGUUUAUUCUUUGUAAGAGGUUUAUUCAGUAUUAAAGAUUUUCUAUCAAAAACUUGUUCAA